rnacentral:lncRNA from 1 species
UUGGGAUCCCAGUGCCCAUUUUGGGACCCAUGGGGUCCUCUCAUCCCGUUUGGAUCCUGUUGGGGUCCCCAUGACCGUUUUGGGGCCCUGGGGUCUCCCCCAACCCCUUUGGAUUCCAUUGGGGUCCCAGUGCCCAUUUUGGGACCCAUAAGGUUUCCCCCAACCUGUUUGGAUCCCAUUGGGGUCCCGGUGACCAUUUCAUGGCCCAUGGCUUUCCCCCCACCCGUUUGGAUCCCGUUGGGGUCCCCAUGACCAUUUUGGGGCCCAUGGGGGUCCCGGUGCCUGUGUUUUGGCCUUUGGGGUCCCUACACCCAUGGUGGAUCCCAUUGGAAUUCCAGCACCUAUGGUGGGUCUCAUGGGGUUCCUGGUGCCCCUUUCAGACCCCAUGGGAUCCCUGCACCCAUUUGGAUCCCAUUGGGGUCCCCGUUCCCAUUUCAGACCCCACGGGGUCCCCCCACCCUCAUUACACCCCAUGGGGUCCCGCUGCCCUUGCCCUUUCUGUCCCCACCCCCGUCCUUGUCCCCGUGCCCGUUUCUGACUCGCUCCCCUUCUCUUGCUCUCGCCGCCGCUGGUGCCACCCCCUGUCCCCAUCCCUGUCCCCGUCCCCGUCGGGCGCAGCCGGUGGAGCAGAAGUCGUCGGCGCAGCUGCUGGGCGCCUGGGGGCUGGAGGACGUGGACCACAUCUUCACCGAGGAGGACUACCACACGCUCACCAACUACAAGGCCUUCAGCCAGUUCAUGAGGCCCCUGAUCGCCAAGAAGAACCCCAAAAUCCCCAUGUCCAAGAUGAUGACCAUCCUGGGGGCCAAGUGGAGGGAGUUCAGCGCCAACAACCCCUUCAAGGGCUCCGCCGCCGUCGCCGCCGUCGCCCCCGAGGCGCCGCCACCGCCCCUGCGCAAGGCCAAGACCAAGGAGGGGAAAGGUGAGCGGCACCCCGGGGACCCUCCGUGGUGGGGACAAGGCACUGGGACCCCCGGGGACCAUCCGUGUUGGGGACAAGGUGACGGGACCCCCAGGUCAUCUCCAUGUUAGGGACGAGACCCCAGGACCCCCAGGUCUCCUCCCUGUUGGGGACAAGGCACAAGGACCUUUGGGGACCCUCUGUGGUGGGGACAAGGUGAAGGGACCCUUAGGUCACCUCCAUGUUGGGGACAAGGCGCUGGGACCCUUGGGUUC